UACGAAGGGGGCUAGCGUUGCUCGGAAUGACUGGGCGUAAAGGGCUCGUAGGCGGCCAACUAAGUCGGAUGUGAAAUCCCCAGGCUUAACCUGGGAACUGCAUCCGAUACUGGAUGGCUUGAAUUCGGGAGAGGGAUGCAGAAUUCCAGGUGUAGCGGUGAAAUGCGUAGAUAUCUGGAGGAAUACCGGUGGCGAAGGCGGCAUCCUGGACCGACAUUGACGCUGAGGAGCGAAAGCUAGGGGAGCAAACGGG
rnacentral:rRNA from 1 species